CCAGGUUCCCCCUAAAUUUAUAGCAUGCUCCUCCAGCUGUUUAAAAUUAUCACUCACUUACCUCUUCAUUCCCUCUAUAUUCUACCAAUAUCUGCAACUCUAUGUUUCCUUAUUUAGCCACCACUUCCAAAUUUCCCCUGCUACCUCUUGUCUCAAAUCCCCACGGUAUCCUUUAGAUUGUAAGCUCACGGGCUAUCUACCUAUGCACUUUGUAUAAAAGAGCUUAAAUGGCUAGAUUUCAGCUUACGGGCAGGGCCCUCUCUACCUUUUGUAUUUGUGUGUGUAUAUUGUAUGUUCUCCACUAAUUGUACAGCGCUG